CGUAAGAUGUUAUGGCACACAGCAAUAUUCCAUGCUAAGCUUGUGACUUCAUGAUGCCCGUGCCAGUACAACGCCGACUUAAUCUAACGACUUCAUGAUGCGUCAAUAUAGCAGCUUCAGGCCUAGUUCGUGACCUGCGGAGUACGUAUUCUAUAAGCGUUGGUUUACCUCCAGUCACCUCGUCUCGUAUAUACUGCUACCUGCCAUUUGGAAUUCUUGUCCUCUCCUGCUUAUGGUCAUAUAGGGUUUAGUCGGCUUUGGUUACCGAGUGCUUGCGGGAGAAGAAUUAACCUGUCGUCUUAAGAAUUGUUUAUUAUUGAACCUUACUUUGAAGCCUGUUAAGUGCGAGAUACGCUGCUGUAGUGAGAAGCGAUCGUUAUACAUUGCACAAAUCAGUCUGUGGUUUUUGACACAGGCUCUGCUUAACGGAGUGAAGGAAAAAAAAACCAAACAAACGAGAGAGAGAGAGAGAGAGAGAGAGAGAGAGAGAGAGAGAGAGAGAGAGAGAGAGAGAGAGAGAGAGAAAGCUCUCUACUACCCCAAAGUAAACAGGAAACAGGGAGGAAGAAACCCAGCCCACAAGACAAGGUGAAAAGGACAGAAGCGCUUGAGAAAGAGAUCAACUCCAUAGGAUGUAGAACAGCAGUGAUCACUGAGGAUCAACACAAGAAGACUCUUUCGUAGUCAAACUAAUGGCCAAGUUUUUUAAUGGCAUAUAGGUUGUUUUCGAUUUCUUCUGUGACCCAACCCAACGCAGCAACUUCUUCUAUCAGAAAAUAUCGUGAAGACUGGCUGGACAUAAGGAUUACUGCUAUGAGACCUAUGAGGGGAGGGGAUCAAGCAUCAUCGAGGGAGUCGCACAACAAGGUGGGCUGGAGCCUUUUCUAACGAGGGUGGACCACUAUAUUGCUAGUCGGAAGCUGCCAAAACCUGACACCAAGACAUCGCUAAGAGAAUGGGCACAAGUCUGCAAAAAUAUCUGUAUGAAAAACAAGACGGGAAUGGUUGACGACCUUGUUAUAUUUCGACAAUUCCAAUCCUGGAUGGAAACUGUACAAUAUCCAAUUUUGCCUGGAUAUCUUGUGACGGUAAUUUGCCCUCACCUGCCUUGCAGUUGUUUGGAGCGAAAAUCAUCUUCAGGAAGACAACACAUCAGCUGAAUGUGAAAUUUCAGAGAAAUCACAAAAAAAUCUGAGACUACUAGAACAAAGUCUUAAAAACUGCAGAGAUUAGGAGCAACAGAUAGAGGCAAUGUGACGGUAGACUUUUGUCUGCGUUCGAAUACCCUCCUUAUCCAAAGAUGGAAUCGGUUCCAAAGUGCUUGGCCGUCAAUGUGAGCUAGUGCGGUUUAGUGCUCUGCUGAACCCUUCCGUGGUUCAGUUAGUACGGGGCCUGCAGUGCCACACUCUUGAACACACAGAUAAACGCAUCUUUCGACUGAAACCGCUCUCAUUUUGGUGAUGAUCUUUGAACACAAGCUGUGCAGUGUGCGUCUAGAGUACCUGAUAAAAGUAAAAAAAAAAAAAAAAAAAAAAAAAAAAAAAAAAAAAAAAAAAUAGCUUGUGUGGAGAAAACAUUCAGUCCAUUGAUCUAAGAAUUUUCAAAAUCCCUCUUUAAUUCUGAGUACAAAAUUUUCAUAAGUUGCUUCACUGUUGUGAGGAAGAAGUGCGAACCGACACGUGGAAAGCUAGAAUUUUCCACUGGCAGUUGGAAUGUGAACGCCUGCUAAUGCCUAAUUUUGAAAGGAUAAGAUCCAUAGAUAAUUGUUACUCGCUGAGAAACGGGGCACCUCAAAUACUACCCGGUGUCUUUCUUUCUAUCGUCAUUCAGCCCUAUAUUCUAUUUCAGUUGUUUGUAUUUUCUUAUAUGAUAAUUUCCAUAUUAAUUCUCUCUCUCUCUCUCUCUCUCUCUCUCUCUCUUUCCCUUGCCACUGGUACUCUUCUGGCUCAAAGUAGCCCAACUGGAGAUUUUCCAUACACAGUGGAAAUUUCUACUUUCAAGGAUGUUCACCAAGAAACAUGCAGAGCCGUAGGAGCCGGUAUCACAGCAGUGGUGCUGAAGGUACUAAUCUCAUUAGUUCUGAUACAUGAAAGCCUGGAGAUCAGUCUGGUACGGGGCGGUACAGCACAGUCUGGUGUCCCAGGCACUGAGUUUGCCUGAACUGGAGUGCCUUGGUGUUGUGACUGACCACCACAAGUGUAGUUUUUUUUUUUUUUUUCAAAUAACUGCCUGACGAAGUGAUGGGAGUGAAAUGUUAUUUUUAUUUACCGUGUCUCUUCUUCGUUCAGAGGUGAUAAUGAUCUGAGCGGAAACGGCAUAGGAAAUUGCACUGACUAUGAAAAGAGCAGGGGGUCACUUUGUGAUCUUUCAGUUAUUUUCUUGCAAGUGCUUAUUGCAUAGUUGAUUAAUUUCCUGCCGAGAUCUACGUGUUAAGAGUAUUACACAAGUUUGCAGUGAUGAGACAUGACUAGUAUUAUCCUGAUGUAUGUGGUAUAGAUUGCACAUUUUUUUUGAGUUCUGGUACACGAAUGGUACUUAAGUUGAGUGAAAAUUAUGUUGUUAUAAAGUUCUGGGUUACUGCAGUAUCUCUGUCUUUGUGACAGUUAUGACAGGAAGGAUUUUCAGUUAGGAAAACAGAAGUCAGUCCUGUAGUUAAUUUUUUCUUUGUGGUGAUCCACAGUACGCAGUGCAUAUAUGCAUAUAUGUUUGUAUUUAAUUUUGUGCCAUAAGAUCACCAAUGCAUUUUAGUGGUUUAAAAAUAACAUUAUAACAUUCCAUAAUUGAGUUCUGGUUCGAACAACAAAUGUAUACGGGUAUUAAUGCUGUAUUUCGAGUUGAAAAAGCGAAGAAAUCAAAGCACAGCAAUGAUAUUAGUCUCUUCUUACCCGUGUCGUGUCUGGAAAAGUAAAGGGGAGCUCUUUGAUGACAAUAAAACUAUUAUGAACUUUCUUAGGGGUGAACUUAAUGACUGCAGUUAGUUUCUGAAAUCCACUUGUAGAAUUACAUGAGAACAGCUGUGACCGAAGAAUGUAUAGAAGAACUUAUUUGAAAUAAGUCAAUUUUGUAUUGUAAUAUAAAUACUCGAGUGUGAAUGUUGUAAAAAGGGUUUUAUAUAAAUACAAAAAAUGAUUAAAAACUUCACGCGUUCUUGGCCAUAAUUUUAUCUAACUUAUUCACUCAUAGCCUCUUUGCUCUCUCCACUUUCCCUUCCCCCUAGGACACAUGACAGGGAAUUCCCAGAAGGUACAAAGGAUAGAACAGAUCAACUUUAAGCAUCAGUUUCGAGUUAGAAAAUACGAAUCGUUUCAACUUAUUUUGUCAUUCAGAGAAAUGAGUAUGAUGAUGAAUGUGUCAUGUGUUUAUGCUCAGGCUUCCAGAGGAAGUGACUAAUCGUCCAAGAUAAGGCGAGAACACACACACACACACAC